rnacentral:lncRNA from 1 species
GUUAUUUAAACUGCCUCUCUAGGUAAAAGGACCCCCCUUCAAAGGGAUAUCCCUCAACUCUAAGUCCUCUACCACUUCAGAAAAUCUCCUCAUUGAUCUUGAAUUUAGUUCAGUCAAACUUGUUUGUAAAUGGUGUUUUUUUAGCUUCUUUAGGGCAUGCUAAUAUGCAGGUUAAGAACAUGGUAUAGGAUAUAGAAAUCUUAUUCCCCUUUUUGGUUGAUAAUUGGAUAAGAUAAGUGAGUGGAAUAAUUUAUCCUACAUUUUUUUAUGUCCCUUUUACGUGGGACUAAUAAUCGCUAAUUGGAUAAGUGAGUGGAAUUACUUAUCCUACAUUUUUUUUUCAUGUAGUUUUUUUAGCUUCUUUAGGGCAUGCUAAUAUGCAGGUUAAGAACAUGGUAUAGGAUAUAGAAAUCUUAUUCCCCUUUUUGGUUGAUAAUUGGAUAAGUGAGUGGAAUAACUUAUCCUACAUUUUUUUCAUGUUCCUUUUACAUGGACUAAUAAUUG